rnacentral:rRNA from 1 species
GAUUAACGCUGGCGGCAUGCCUAAUACAUGCAAGUCGAACGGAAGCAGCAAUGCUUUAGUGGCGAACGGGUGAGUAACACGUAGGGAACCUACCUAUACGACGAGGAUAACUACUGGAAACGGUAGCUAAAACUGGAUAGGAUCAAUUGAGGCAUCUUGAUUGAUUUAAAGAUCCUUCGGGAUUACGUAGAGAUGGCCCUGCGGCGCAUUAGCUAGUUGGUGAGGUAACGGCCCACCAAGGCGACGAUGCGUAGCUGAGCUGAGAGGCUAAACAGCCACACUGGGACUGAGACACGGCCCAGACUCCUACGGGAGGCAGCAGUAGGGAAUUUUCGGCAAAUGGGGGAAACCCUGACCGAGCAAUGCCGCGUGAACGAUGAAGGUCUUCGGAUUGUAAAGUUACUGUGAUUGGGGAAGAAUGGUAUUCUUAGGGAAUGAGGAGUACAUGAC